AUAAAAGAAAGAUGGAAAGUGUGAGGAUGGACAAACACUGAGUCCAAAAAGUUGAGAGCUGAUAGAGGGAAAAAUGAGGCUGACUGAAUGCAAUGAGACAGAAUGAAUAUCAGGACAAAAAUGAAAAAGCUUGCUUUCCUAAUGAAGUGGCUCCAAAGUGCCUGAGAACAAGGAAAGGAAACGAGUUGGGAUUUCUCGCGGUCUCCUGUCACCCACGGGUGCUAUGCCUCUGCUUCUGGCACA
rnacentral:lncRNA from 1 species